rnacentral:lncRNA from 1 species
UAAUAUUAAAAUAACAUUUAUUUUCAAAAUCAAGAUUAGACCCCAUACAUGUUUUAACACAUUCAUUAUGGAAGUGCUAUUUUAUCAUCCACAAUUACAAAUAUUUAAGUAGCAUCUCUUAUGCAAAGGACAACUUGGUAGUAAAUGAUCACAAUCCUUAUCUUUGAAGCAGAACAAGUCCCGGUUGCAUAUGCACAGCCUAUUGUAACAGAAUGGUCUCCAUACCACCUUGCAAAUGUUCAAACAAUCUUCAUCAUUAUUACAAUGUACAAAAGCUACAUUCCUUGCUUCAACCACAAAUGGAAUACCUAUAAAAAAUAAUGUUUCAUUAGAUAACAACAGAUAUAAUUUUAAAUUUUUAAUGAUAAAACAAAUAUAUGAAACAAGAAAGAACUUAGAAAACAACACACUGGUGGUAUAACUUCAAGGCUUUAAUUGAAAAUUCUUGACACAAUUAAAUAGUUUAAGCAUAUAUAUGCAUAUAUAGGUAAAUUUAUGGGUCGAUUUGGAUCGGUUAUUGAUGAAAAUCAAAAUCAAAUCCGUAUAAUUGAUUUUUAAAUUAUUAAAACCAAACCAAACAAAAAAUAAUAAUAUUUAUUGGUUUGGUUAUUAUUUGUCCAGUUCGAUUCGAUUUGAUCUGAUGUAAUUGUUCGGUUAUUAAUCAAACACAAAAAUAAAAGAAGCGAUUCAUUCAAAAUAAAAUAAAAGACAACUAUUUGUUCAACAAGAAAAAAUAAAUCCCUAGAUUAUCACAUACAACAUUACAUGUCAUAUACCGGUUUGAUUUUGUUUGGUUAUUAAUGAAACACGAAAAUAAAAAAAAAAUUGGCUCAUUCAAGAGGAAAUAGAAGACAACAAUUCAUUCAAAUGAAAAGAAAAAUCCCUAAAUUAUCACAUAAACAUAACAUGACAUAUAUCUAAUACAAGAUAUUUAAAAUAUAAAUAGCUUUUGAUGAAAAAAUAUAUAAGAUACUUAAUAUUGUUCUUAAGAAAUAUAUUAUGUAUAUAUAAAUUUAAAAACAUGCAUAUAAUUUAUUACCUAUGUUCAAUUAUUUCUUUGAUCCUUUUGAACAAAUCAAAAUCAAACAAAAUAUCUUCAGUUUUUAGAAAUAUAAGAUCAAAACAAAUUAGACUUACUAGCACUUAUAGCCCACAACAUGAAGAGUGAAAUUAAAACUUUGAAAG